AAGAGGGCCGCUUCUGGGCCGAAUCCUCUUUGCUUGCUGGGUAGUAGAUUAUGUAUAAAAAAAAUAAAAAAUAAAUGGACUAAUUAAAGUUUUUCUAUAUCUGUGCAGUGAUGAUCUACGUUAAUUUAAUAAAAAAACAUGAAGACUAAAUCCUACUUCAGAAGAUGUGCAUUGUGGCUGAUUCAUAUUAUCUCGAAACAUAAAGGUACCAACCCAUGAGAUGGCAGUGUACAGUCUGCAAUUCAGUGUCAUCCUCUAAGGGUGCUCUUCUGAAGCAUUAUAGACUACAGCAUGGAACAUUUGCUUGUGGAAAUUCUAUAGCUUGUCUACAUUCAACUUGCCCUUGCUCUUUCAAAACACGGAACACAGAAGAGGAAACACUUGGGCCAGGAGUAGUUCUGUAUUGUUUGUGCAACGUGUGUGGCACCCAUUAUCCUACUGAGAAGGACUAUUUUCAACAUGUUGGCACGCAUCUAAAGAAUCAUGAAACAGGAGAAUGUGUAUUUGAAGGAUGUGAUUUUAGGACAAAUAUAUAUGGCACAUUUGUGACGCACAAAAGCAGAAAGCACAAUCCUCAUUCAAUCAGUGGUUUUAAUGCAGAUAUUAUUGGACAACACCAACAUGAAUUAAUUGCUCAACCAUAUGUCUGUGACCCUUCUGUGCCGGAGUACAAUGACAGUGAGGACACAAGUUUAGAUUGUGAUCAUCAGGAAGAUGUGUCAAAUACAAUUGUUGAAGAAAUUGGCACUCUGCUAUUGAAACUGCAGGACCUACUGGCGAACAAAGACAUUGCAGAGAAGGCAUUAACAAAAUCCAACCUCUAGUUAUGAGUCAUUCUAUGAUGGUAAACAUUAUAAGCAAAAUCAUUUUUAUGCUGUAGAAGAGUUGAGAAUCUGUAUAGUUCUUUAUAUUGAUGACUUUGAGGUGUUGUAACCCUCUUGGAACUUCCUGGAAAAAGCACAAAAUAAUAGCUGUGUAUUGGGUACUGGCAAAUGUGCCAUCAGAGUUGCAGUCCGCACUGACAUCCAUAUACUUGUCUCUCCUGUGCAAAGCAGAUGAUGUUAAACAAACUACCCUCAGUCAGUCUGAAAAAACUUUGCUGCUCAAAGAAAUAUUGGAGGAAACGCACAUGAGAAUUGCCCUGAUAAGGUUAUUGCCACUCAUAAUAGGACCACGGAUACCUUUGGAUGAGCCAGCAUGGGAGAUUCUCAUGAUGUGAAAAGACAUUGUGGAACUUAUUGUGGCCCCUGUCCACACCAAGGAAACGAUCUGUUACGUUGACUCAAAAAUAUUGGAACACUCAUAGAUUGUUAGACGUUUUCCCUGAAGUGAAGUUGUUCCCAAAACACCAUUCUUUGGAACAUUACCCUGGAUUGACUGAAGCCUUUGAUCCUCUGGUUGGAUUAUGGACAAUGCGCUUUGAGGCCAAACAUAGUUUUUUUCAAGCGUAUUGUCACACACACUAGCAACUUAAAAAAUGUGUUACAGAGUCUGGCAACAAGGUAUCAACUGAUGAUGGCUUACCACUUACAAGGAAAUGCAAUGAAACCAUUUGUGUACCAUUUGUGUCACCAAAGUAUCUUCAGUGCCUUUAGAAGGGCUGCAUGUGGAAAUACGGGAAUCCGUUAAAAAAAGGAACCUACUCAAACGUGUACAAUUGUCCAAGAUACAGUAUCAGUAUGAUCUUGCCUUAUGGCCGUACUGGUGGACUACCUGACUCUGUGGAGAUAAUUCAGAUCGUCAUCUUGGAAAAUUUCAUUGUGAAGUUUCAUUGUCAACUUCAUUGUGAAGACACUAAGUGCCUGGUAUGAUGAGCAUCUGAGGUCUUAUCAGUUGGAGUACUCUGGGAAAGUAAUUGUUGUUGUGCAGCAGGAACUUGGUGAUGUGUACCACUUCAAAUCAAUCUAAUUUUAUUAGUCACAUGCGCCGAAUACAACACCCGCAUGUGACUAAUAAAAUUAGAUU